rnacentral:rRNA from 1 species
UGCCACAGCCGCGGUAAUACGGAGGGUGCAAGCGUUGUUCGGAUUUACUGGGCAUAAAGAGCACGUAGGCUGUUAGGUAAGUCAGAGGUGAAAUCCCUAAGCUCAACUUAGGAACUGCCUUUGAUACUAUCUUACUAGAGAUCGAGAGAAGUUAGCGGAAUUCCAAGUGUAGAGGUGAAAUUCGUAGAUAUUUGGAAGAACACCAGUGGCGAAAGCGGCUAACUGGCUCGUAUCUGACGCUGAGACGCGAAAGCGUGGGUAGCAAACAGGAUUAGAUA